rnacentral:rRNA from 1 species
GCAUAUCAAUAAGCGGAGGAAAAGAAACCAACAGGGAUUGCCUCAGUAACGGCGUAGUGAAGCGGCAACAGCUCAAAUUUGAAAUCUGGGGCCUUCGGCCUCCGAGUUGUAAUUUGAAGAGGAUGUUUCGGCGGCAGCUUUGGCCCAAGUUCCUUGGAACAGGACGUCAUGGAGGGUGAGAAUCCCGUGUCUGGCUGAUAGCUUGCUGCCAUGUGAAACUCCUUCGAAGAGUCGAGUUGUUUGGGAAUGCAGCUCAAAAUGGGUGGUAAAUUUCAUCUAAAGCUAAAUAUUGGCGGGAGACCGAUAGCGCACAAGUAGAGUGAUCGAAAGAUGAAAAGCACUUUGAAAAGAGAGUUAAACAGUACGUGAAAUUGUUGAAAGGGAAGCGCUUGCAAUCAGACUCACUUGCGGUUGAUCAACAAUCCUUUUGGUUUGUGCACUCUGCCGUUUGUGGGCCAGCAUCAGCUGGGGCGGUGGGACAAAGGCAGCGGGAAUGUGGCUCCCCUCGGGGAGUGUUAUAGCCCGUUGCGUAAUGCCACCAGCCCCGGCUGAGGUCCGCGGUUCGCCUAGGAUGCUGGCUUAAUGGUUGUAAGCGACCCGUCUUGAAACACGGACCAAGGAGUCUAACAUCUAUGCGAGUCUUUGGGUGUCAAACCCAUAGGCGUAAUGAAAGUGAACGGAGGUGGGAGUCUUCGGAUGCACCAUCGACCGAUCCUGAUGUUCUCGGAUGGAUUUGAGUAGGAGCAUAGCUGUUGGGACCCGAAAGAUGGUGAACUAUGCCUGAAUAGGGUGAAGCCAGAGGAAACUCUGGUGGAGGCUCGCAGCGGUUUCUGACGUGCAAAUCGAUCGUCAAAUUUGGGUAUAGGGGCGAAAGACUAAUCGAACCAUCUAGUAGCUGGGUUCUGCGA